rnacentral:rRNA from 1 species
ACGCUCGACACCUACGGGAGGAGCAGUGGGGAAUAUUGCACAAUGGGGGAAACCCUGAUGCAGCGACGCCGCGUGAGUGAAGAAGUAUUUCGGUAUGUAAAGCUCUAUCAGCAGGGAAGAGAAUGACGGUACCUGACUAAGAAGCCCCGGCUAACUACGUGGCCAGCAGCCGCGGUAAUCUGAGCGGGCUGGCAAGGC